rnacentral:misc_RNA from 1 species
GAUGAAGAACGCAGCGAAACGCGAUAAGUAAUGUGAAUUGCAGAAUCCAGUGAAUCAUCGAAUCUUUGAACGCACAUUGCGCCCGCCAGCAUUCUGGCGGGCAUGCCUGUUCGAGCGCCAUUUCAACCCUCGACCUCCCCUUGGGGAGGUCGGCGUUGGGGACCGGCAGCACACCGCCGGCCCUGAAAUGGAGUGGCGGCCCGUCCGCGGCGACCUCUGCGCAGUAAUACAGCUCGCACCGGGACCCCGACGCGGCCACGCCGUAAAACACCCAACUUCUGAACGUUGACCUCGAAUCAGGUAGGACUACCCGCUGAACUUAAGCAUAUCAAUAAGCGGAGGA